UACCAAACUCUGUAUGGUUUGAGUUUAAAAGGAUAUUAAACUUCUGGGAUGCUGUGUUGGAAGCUGCAAGCUGCUUUGCUUUCUGGUUCAGUUUUCCUUUCAGUGGCUUUCCAGCGUACAAAACACUCUGUGCCAAAAUCGGUACUAACUUUAUAAGGAUAAAGUGGCAACUUCUGCUAAAAAUCUCCCUUGUAUGAUGCAACUACAUCCAAAUUCCAGCUGGCUUUUGCCGAGAAGCUUCUCAGGACUUGUUGCUGAAGCCUGUGCUUUGCUAACAUGGGAGCCUGGGCUGGUGGGCCACACCGCUUCGGAGCAUCUCCAUCACCCUUCAGUAAGAUAACAGGCCUAAAGAGGCCAGAAGUAGCCUCUGGGGAACAAUCUCCAACAGAAGAUGCUCAUCCAGACCAUCUGCUGGCAUUCCACAGUGUCUCAGCGCUGGCUCACUCCAACCGUCUCAUAGACCUCCACCUAGGGCCCUUGUUGGGAAAGGGCCAUGUGUUUGAGACAUGCAAGCAGAAAGCACUGCAUAUUGGUUACCCCCUAGCAGCAUGUGGUCCCAGGGGCUAAAUUUAAGUCAAUACAGGACACAAUAAGAAUUCAUGAAGUACCUCUUCCCUCCCCCACUCCUAGCCCUAAAAUAUCAUCUCUCCCCUUGCUCACUGAUUGUCUCCCUGCA
rnacentral:lncRNA from 1 species